CAGUCGCCGCGGGAAUACGUAGGGUGCAAGCGUUAAUCGGAAUUACUGGGCGUAAAGCGUGCGCAGGCGGUUUUGUAAGACAGAGGUGAAAUCCCCGGGCUCAACCUGGGAACUGCAUUUGUGACUGGCGGGCUAGAGUAUGGCAGAGGGGGGUAGAAUUCCACGUGUAGCAGUGAAAUGCGUAGGGAUGUGGAGGAAUACCGAUGGCGAAGGCAGCCCCCUGGGCCAAUACUGACGCUCAUGCACGAAAGCGUGGGGAGCAAACAGGAUUAGAGACCCGUGUAGUCCCUGUCUCUUAUAC
rnacentral:rRNA from 1 species